rnacentral:rRNA from 1 species
CCUACGGGAGGCAGCAGUGAGGAAUAUUGGUCAAUGGGCGCGAGCCUGAACCAGCAAAGUAGCGUGAAGGAUGACUGCCCUACGGGUUGUAAACUUCUUUUAUAAAGGAAUAAAGUGAGGCGCGUGUGCCUUUUUGUAUGUACUUUAUGAAUAAGGAUCGGCUAACUCCGUGCCAGCAGCCGCGGUAAUACGGAGGAUCCGAGGGUUAUCCGGAUUUAUUGGGUGUAAAGGGAGCGUAGAUGGGGUGUUAAGUCAGUUGUGAAAGUUUGCGGCUCAACCGUAAAAUUGCAAUUGAUACUGGCAGCCUUGAGUACAGUUGAGGUAGGCGGAAUUCGUGGUGUAGCGGUGAAAUGCUUAGAUAUCACGAAGAACUCCGAUUGCGAAGGCAGCUUACUAGACUGCCACUGACGUUGAUGCUCGAAAGUGUGGGUAUCAAACAGGAUUAGAUACCCCUGUAGUC